AUACGAAAGGUGCAAGCGUUGUUCGGAUUUACUGGGCGUAAAGAGAUCGUAGGUGGUUUGUUAAGUUGGAUGUGAAAUCCCGGGGCUCAACCUCGGAACUGCAUCCAAAACUGGCAGACUUGAGUUCGGGAGGGGUAAGCGGAAUUCCGUGUGUAGCCGUGAAAUGCGUAGAUAUACGGAGGAACACCUGAGGCGAAGGCGGCUUACUGGACCGAUACUGACACUGAGGAUCGAAAGCGUGGGUAGCAAACAGGAUUAGAAACCCUAGUAGUCC
rnacentral:rRNA from 1 species